rnacentral:ncRNA from 1 species
CUGCGGACUUAAGAAAUUGAGCCUUGUUGGAGAAACCUGACAAGUGGAUGCUCUCAAAUUCAGGGAAACCUAAGUCUUUUAAAGAGAUAAGGCAAUCCUGAGCCAAGCCGAAACAAAUUGAGCACAAAGUUAGCUUUGCAUUCAAAACUGUUCGGAAGGUGCAGAGACUCGACGGGAGCUACCCUAACGUAAAGCCGAGGGUAAAGAGAGAGUCCAAUUCUUAAAGCCUCAAGUGUAAAG